rnacentral:lncRNA from 1 species
GCAGCCAGACGGAGAAGCAGGGAGAAGGAGUCCUGGAAGAAUGUAAUUAGCUGCAGAAUAAGUCGUUUUGUGGAAACAUUGUCUGUCCUUUGCUGUCUAUCCUAACAGCAGCAAAGCAUCAUUUAACGUCUUCAUUUGACACAGUACCAGUCAAAAGCUUGAGCAGACUGUCCUGCAGGUUAACUAGCAUGUUAACCUAUUAAGCUUCUGUUACUUGUUAUUGUAACAGAUGAAGGUUUAGUGUACGUUUUUCUACACUACUGUGCAAAAAUCAGAAACUAUACUAAAAGCUAUAAAAAUGAAAACCAAACAGCAUUCUAAGGAAUUCAGAGAUAAGGUUAUAGACAUGCACAAGGAAGGACAUGGCUACAAAAAAAUAGCCAAGUGUUUGGAUAUUGCAAGUGUCAGCAAGUGUAAUCUUUUCUGAUUGAUAUUUCUCUGUUGAAGUUAUGUUUUAUGUUUUAUUUGUAAGGUUUUUUUUAUUCUGUAUUUGAUCUGUUUUUUGUUUUUUUAUUUGCUUUCAUUAUUCUGAAGUGUUUGAUGUAAAGACUGUUAGGCCUACAUUAAAUGCAUUAAAUCUGAGCAUUAACAUUU